GGACUUCCACAAGAACCAGACUCCAUUUGAACUUCCAUAGUGGAUGGAUUCUGGAUGAACUUCUACAACGGACGGGCUCCAGCAGCUGGAUUUCUACAACGGCCUACCGCCUCCAGCAUCUACCGUACCUCUCCAGCCGUCAACCUUCAAUAGCAUCAGCCGAACUUCAACAACGCCAACUGGACUCCCACAGGAUCCUCCAGACUCCUCCAGUAGAUGAACUUCCACAAUGCCUUCCAGACUCUUCU
rnacentral:lncRNA from 1 species